CGAUAUCUGAGACACGAUAUCGGGCCCUACGGGGGCGCAGCAGGCGCGAAAACUUCACAAUGUGCGAAAAGCACGAUGAGGGAAUCCCAAGUGCUUUGCUCGUAAGAGUAAGCUGUUUUUAUGUCUAAAAUGCAUGGAGAGUAAGGGCUGGGUAAGACGGGUGCCAGCCGCCGCGGUAAUACCUGCAGCUCAAGUGGUGACCGCUAUUAUUGGGCCUAAAACGUUCGUAGCCGGUUUAUUAAAUGCCUGGGUAAAUCGUGUAGCUUAACUAUACGAAUUCCGGGUAGACUGAUAGACUUGAGACCGGGAGAAGCUAGAGGUACUCCUGGGGUAGAGGUGAAAUUCUGUAAUCCUGGGGGGACCACCAGUGGCGAAGGCGUCUAGCUAGAACGGGUCUGACGGUGAGGAACGAAGCCCUGGGGCGCAAACCGGAUUAGAUACCCGGGUAGUCCAGGGUGUAAACGCUGCUUGCUUGAUGUUAGUUGGGCUCCGAGCCCAAUUAGUGUCGGAGAGAAGUUGUUAAGCAAGCUGCCUGGGAGGUGCGAUCGCAAGAUUGAAACUUAAAGGAAUUGGC
rnacentral:rRNA from 1 species